rnacentral:lncRNA from 1 species
AUCUCAUUUGUGGAUCAAGUCGCCCCCAGUGGAGACAAAUGUCUGAUGGAGUCUGGCCAAGGCCCUCCUGAGCCUUCACUGGGCCCUGCAUGAGAAGCCUGCCAAGGCUGAGGGGCCAGGGAAACGGAGACGAAGCCCUCAGAGCAGGCCAAGAGGGUGGGAGGUGGGGGGCAUUUAGAGGGUUAGAUACAGAGCACCCCUUUACAAAUACCAGCUACUGGCUUUUCGUAUUACAUGUUCAUUUUAGAUACAACAUACUGCACACGCUCCCUUAACGUGUGUUUACGCGUGGGUGGUGUAUCCUUCCAGACGUCUUCCUCACAUCUAUACAUAAUAUGCAUAGAUAAAACAUUUACCACCAAAACCCAUAGUGUUAUGUACAUAUUUGUCUGGCUGUGUAACUUUAAAUAACAUACAAAUGUAUAGAACAGAAGCUUGCCCUCUUUCUGAAAUAUCUAACGUGGGAUUUCAGGCUUUCUGAUGAGACCUCUGUAGAGGUCAGUGUUUUGCCACCAGAGGUCCUUCAGCCUCCAUCUGUUCUCCCACCUACCCACAUUCUGGCCCCUGGCAAUUCACAGGGAGUUUAGGAAGUAGACACCAGGGCCCUAUUUCCUGGAGACCAGCCUGGUGGCCGAUGUCAUAGAGUGCGGUGGGCCUGGGCCGGCCCUGCUCUGGGCCCGUGACCUGCGUGUCUGACUCGGGUCCAGCUGUUCUUCCUGCCAGAGCCUCUUCCUGUGAGGCGGGGGUAACACAACCUUCUGUGGUGGCUGUGGGAUUAAUCCGUAUGGCUGCAUUGUGAGUAAAGCCUGGUGGAAAUCUCUGUCUCCACUGCUUUCCUUUUCCUGCUGUUCACCUUGGCUCCCUCGACACUUAAUCCCCCUCCACAUGUGUCUGGAGCGGGCAGAGCGGGGGCAGUUGAUAGAAAGGGGGCCGGGUAGUGCCAAGGCUGUUACUUUCCCCCACUGCCUCCCUUGGCUAACUUGAAGUCUGACCCUUUAUACCAGAACUGUAAGACAGUGUGUCAGAAUGGAUUCAGUUGCAGAGCAGGAAGCCUGGAUCCCAGCGCCGGACGGAAAUGAGAGGUCGAUGGUGCAGGCUGGUGUGGGGGUUCCUCCACCGUCAGGGCCCAGGCUCCUUCUCAGGUCUCAGUCUCACUCUUCUUAGCACGAGGUCAGGUCUCAUUCCUUGGCUGCGGGAGCUCCAGCCAGCACACGUUUUAGGAAGAAGGAGGAAGGAAGAAGGUAAAGGGUGGAUGGCAGCUGCCUCCUCCUCUCUUGGAAGCUCACAGAGCGCUGGGUCACAAUUCCCUGGGUAGAACUGGAUCACACAGGCACCCCUGUCAGCAAAAGAGGCUGGAAAAAGUAUUUCUGAAGCUGAAUCAAAUUAAGAUUCCUGUUACUAAGAAGGGAGUGAUUGUAUGGGCGACUACAGGGACCACGGCCAUACACGGUGCCUGGAAGACCAAGCUUGUGACAGUGACGAGGAUUUGGAGAGGGCAGGGUGAUGGGGAGCUUUGGGGGGAGUGCAUUAGGAACCCUGACCUGGAGAGGGGCAGAAUGAAACCUGCGGGCCCCUAACCCUAGUGGGUUGUUUGAGAAACCUGUCCUACUGUGGCAGGGGGCUGAGUCUUCUCAGGGUCAUGCAUGAAAACUGAAAUUCCUGAAGGCCACACACAGCCCCGGAAGUGCUGACUGACAAGGGCACAUGCCAGUGAUGCAGUUUUCUUUUUUGUCUUCACUUUUGUUGUUCCGCCGUCUUCAACACAUGGCUCCCAGCUCACAGCAAAUGCUGCCCUGGUUCAGCUACCAGGAAGCAGGAGAGGGGAAGGGAGGGCAAGCCUCAUUCUUUAUGGAACAAAAGCAGUGGGCAGACAGCCUUCCCUCACGUUCCACUCACUGGAAUGUGGUCUGGCUGCCUUCCCUGCAGGAGGUGGGAUGCACCCUCAGUGCAGCAGCCCUGCCCCAGCCAAAAACGUCUCAGCACAGCUGUAAGAAGAGGAAGAUGGCUAGAGACAGGCAGCCUUCCCUGCAAGGGCAAUGAGGCAAGCCUGCCAAAAGCCUCCUUUGGAAAUACUGUUUGAUUACUUUUCAGAGUUUCUAUUUAGGAAAAGGGCAAAACCUUUCAGGAUCAGGAGUAGGUGAGCGGCGAUCAGGCCUCACUCUUCACCGAGGGCCUUCCCUGAGGAGGGGCCUGCAGGACGCUGGCAGCGGAAUGGGGCUGUGUGGCUGCUAGAUUAGGUCAUGGCAGGGAGACAGCCUCUUCCUGGUUCUUGCUAGAACAGGCACACUUGGGGCCUUGAGCUCCAGGGAGUUCAUGGAAGACAUCUGACUACCCUGAGCCCCUUGCUGGAGGGUUCUGGGGAGUGGCCCACGGCCACCGUCACCCAUGGCCACCGUCACCCACAGGGGCCGUGAGGACAUCCCUGGCCAGCAUCUAACACAACCACAUGGGAUGCCCUAAGCAACUACUGCCCAGCCGAGGGCUGCCUGAAUUUCUGACUCACAAAUGGUGGGCAAUGUGAAACGGGUAUUUUAAGCUGCUGAGUUCUGCGGGAGUUUGCUGAGCAACAGUAGAAACCAGAACUCUCGGAUACUGUGUUCUGUCCUUGAAACGGUGGAAGAUUUUAUGUGACCAGAAUGGAAUGUUUGAACAAAUAUUUUGAGAAUAGAAUUUUAAAACAUUUACUCAUCAGCAUCCAAGGGUGGGGAGCAGUGUCAUCUAGGAGACUGGUUCUAUUAUUUACGUAGAUGUUCUUGAAUUAAAGGAUGGGAAUAUUUUUUCCUUCCAAAACUUUUUUUCAAUUUUAUAUUCUGUUUUUCAAGUUUUUAUUAUGAAAAUAUUCAAACUCACAGGGAAGUUGAAAGACUAAUACAAAGAAGAACCAUACUCUUUCCACUGACAUGAUCCAACGAGGAAUAUUUUGCCACACGGCAAAUAUAUACCGUAUAAUUUUCUGUACCACUUGAUAGAAAGGUAAAGAAUGAAUAUUGUUUUUUAAAUAACUUUUUUCGUAUAUAAGUAAUAUGUGCUUAUCGUGUAACUACCUAAAAACAUUGAAAAAUAAAAGGAAAAUAAAAUUCAUACAUAA